ACGCGACGUGCGGUGCUCUUCCAG
rnacentral:siRNA from 1 species